GAUGAACGCUAGCGGCAGGCUUAACACAUGCAAGUCGAGGGGUAUAGUUCUUCGGAGCUAGAGACCGGCGCACGGGUGCGUAACGCGUAUGCAAUCUACCUUUUGCAGAGGGAUAGCCCAGAGAAAUUUGGAUUAAUACCUCAUGGUAUGUGAGAAUAGCAUCAUUUUCACAUUAAAGUCACAACGGCAAAAGAUGGGCAUGCGUCCCAUUAGCUAGGUGGUAAGGUAACGGCUUACCAAGGCAACGAUGGGUAGGGGUCCUGGGAGGGAGAUCCCCCACACUGGUACUGAGACACGGACCAGACUCCUACGGGAGGCAGCAGUGAGGAAUAUUGGACAAUGGGCGCAAGCCUGAUCCAGCCAUGCCGCGUGCAGGAUGACGGUCCUAUGGAUUGUACACUGCUUUUGUACAGGAAGAAACACUGGUUCGUGAACCAGCUUGACGGUACUGUAAGAAUAAGGAUCGGCUAACUCCGUGCCAGCCGCCGCCGUAACAC
rnacentral:rRNA from 1 species